rnacentral:lncRNA from 1 species
AUGGCAUGUAGAGGUGCCACUGUGAUGUCCCAAGAAAAAAAACCAUAAAUAGAGUAUUUUAUAUUCAUGCAUUUGAUAUGUUAUGAUAUAACCAUAUUGUAUGAUUAUGAUUUCAUAUCUUAGAGAUAUGAUUAGAUGCUAUUAUUAGUUGUGAUGAUUGUUAAGAUACUACUAUAAUAGAGCAUCAUUAUGAUUGAUUAAAUUAGGAAAGGCAUGAGACCAUUAAAAU